rnacentral:lncRNA from 1 species
AGAAUCCAGAAGAUAUUUCCCAGAAUGAAGAGGCAAGAGAAAGAACAAAGCGGAGACUCAAUAUAGAUGAUCCUGAAAAACAACUUUAAUCGGGGUUAUACUGUGUUAAGGGUCCUCAGAGCUGCAUGAGUCUUACCUGUAAAGAGGACCCAGAGGCUCACAACAUGAAAUGACUCUGGGAUGUGUAAAAAGCAUUGAUCUACAAGAGACAUUGAAAUCAUUUAGUAUAAAACCUUCACU